AGUGAGUAGCUUGCUACGAACUGUUUUAGCGGCGGACGGGUGAGUAACGCGUGAGCAACCUUUCCCAGACAGGGGAAUAACAGUUGGAAACGACUGCUAAUACCGCAUAAGCGCACAGCUUCGCAUGAAGCAGUGUGAAAAACUCCGGUGGUACAAGAUGGACCCGCGUCUGAUUAGCUGGUUGGUGAGGUAACGGCCCACCAAGGCGACGAUCAGUAGCCGGCCUGAGAGGGUGAACGGCCACAUUGGGACUGAGACACGGCCCAAACUCC
rnacentral:rRNA from 2 species